CCCCUCUUAGGGCCGCACCUGGAGAAUUUUCAGUACUCUACCAGUCUCGGCUAUGGAAGGGAGAGUCAAGCAGAGGCAUAUUCCUUCCAUUUCUAGCUUGUCUAGUGGCCAGCCAGUGGAAGACAAUCUGCUACAAGU